rnacentral:lncRNA from 1 species
UGGAGGGAGAAAAGUGAUGAAUUUAGGAGUUAUGAAACCAUUUUGAAUCCUCCCUGCCAUGGCUGGCAGGAGUCUGUUUGUAUUUGUAUUCAUGUGGGGGGGGAGGGUUAGUACUCAAUUUUCUAUGUUUCAAAUGAAUAAAUAGAGAAAAGGAAGGGGGAAUAUGAGCUGGAAAAAGUAAUCUUGUAGUGUGGCACUGCCUUUGGAAUCAAAGUGAACUCCAAUAAGGCCAAGAUAUUUUACUUGUCUAGAGCUGGAUUAGAGAUCUAAGGUCCCCCAAUAGACCCUUAAUAGAUCCUAACCAAAUGGGCUUUAGGACACAGUCAUGCUGAGAACCAGUUUCUUGUUAUUGUCCUGAGGUGGCCUGAUUUGAUGAUAAUUAUUGAGAGGAGCAUCCCAAAUGUUCAUAUGGACUAUUUGUGCCAGCUUGUGCUAGAGAUUUUAAAUAGUAUAGAGCUUCAUAAUGGUCUGACCAACCAUAGUUGGACAUGUUGUACCUUGUCCCCAGCAUAGUAAUAUCAUUUUCAUUCUCUUUGAUCAUGAAGGGUAACAGCCAGCCAACCAAGGAGGAUGCAUGUUACAUAACAGUCUUGGCAGCAAGCAUGAUGAUGAUGAUGAUGAUGUUCCUGUAAGCCUUGUAUUAGACUCUGGGGAUACAGAAAUAAAAAGCAGAAUGGCCCCCACUGUCCAGGAGUUUGCAUUCUAUCGAGCCACUCAAUUUGACCUGAGCCAAGGGAGAAAGCUGGAGGGGCUGCGGAGGAGAAGAGAAGCUCUCUCUAACUGUCUAGCCUGGUUAACCAAGGUGCUGGUACUUGUUUUAUUUUUGGUUUUUGUUUUUUUAAUUUAAAAUUUUCUAUUUAUUUUUUAUUAAAGAUUUUUAUUUUCAAAACAUAUGCACAGGUAAUUUUUCAACAUUGAUCCUUGUGUUCCAAAUUUUCUCCUCUUUUCUCCUACUCCCUCCCCUAGAUGACAAGCAAUCCAAUAUAUGUUAUACAUGUUAAAAUAUAUGUUAAAUCCAAUAUAUGAAAACAUAUUUAUACAAUUAUAUUGCUGCACAAGAAAGUUUAAAUCAAAAAGGAAAGAAAAUGAAUAAGAAAACAAAAUGCGUGUGAACAACAACAGAGUGAGAAUGUUAUGUUAUGAUCCAUACUCAGUUCCCACAGUCCUCACUCUGGGUAUAGAUGGCUCUCUUCAUCACAACAUCAUUGAAACUCACCUCAUCUCAUUGUUGGAAAGAGUCACGUCCAUCAGAAUUGAU